GACGUAGGAUCCGAGCGUUGUCCGGAGUUACUGGGCGUAAAGCGCGCGCAGGCGGACCGAUACAUCGGCGGUGAAAGCCCCCCGCUCAACGGGGGGAGGGUCCGUCGAGAUGGUCGGUCUGGAGGCAGGGAGAGGCCAGUGGAAUUCCGGGUGUAGUGGUGAAAUGCGUAGAGAUCCGGAGGAACACCAGUGGCGAAGGCGGCUGGCUGGACCUGACCUGACGCUGAGG
rnacentral:rRNA from 1 species